UUUCCGUAGGUGAACCUGCGGAAGGAUCAUUAUUGUAUAACCGAGGUGCGAGGGCUGUCGCUGACCCAAGAGGUCGUGCACGCCCGAGUGCCCUCACACACAUCCAUCUCACCCCUAUGUGCACCACCGCGUGGGUCCCCCUUUGGCUUGUACGGGGGGGGGCUUACGUUUUCACACAAACUUUGUAUGCAGUGUAGAAUGUAUUUUUUGUUUUUGCGAUCACGCAAUCAAUACAACUUUCAACAACGGAUCUCUUGGCUCUC
rnacentral:misc_RNA from 1 species